AAAGCCCAAUCUCAUCUGACCUUGGAAGCUAAG
rnacentral:rRNA from 1 species